ensembl:snoRNA
AUUCUUUUGUAUUUCAUGAGCGUGAUGAUUGGGUGUUCACGCGCCUGCGUGACGUGUGCCUCCCUCAACCCGUGUUACGACAUCGGCACAUUAUCCAUCUGACG